GACAGAGGGGGCAAGCGUUGCUCGGAAUUACUGGGCGUAAAGGGCGCGUAGGCGGGAUGGCAAGUCGGUCGUGAAAUCCCUCGGCUCAACUGAGGAUCGUCGAUCGAUACUGCCGUUCUUGAGGAUUGCAGAGGAGACUGGAAUUCCCGGUGUAGCGGUGAAAUGUGUAGAGAUCGGGAGGAACACCGGUGGCGAAGGCGGGUCUCUGGGCAAUUCCUGACGCUGAGGCGCGAAAGCGAGGGGAGCAAACGGG
rnacentral:rRNA from 1 species